UUUGACCUGCCCACUGAAUAAUUUUUAAAGGGCCGCAGUAUUUUGACUGUGCAAAGGUAGCAUAAUCAUUAGUCUUUUAAUUGAAGGCUGGUAUGAAUGGUUGGAUAAGGUGAAUUCUGUUUUAUGUUAAUUUUUAUUGAAUUUAGGUUUUAAGUAAAAAAACUUAAAUGUAAUUAAGGGACGAGAAGACCCUAUAGAGUUUAAUAAAUGAUAUAAUUUAAUUGAGUUAAUUAAGAAUUUUUAGUUAUUAUUAAAUUUAUUUAGUUGGGGUGAUUAAAAGAUAAAGUGAACUCUUUUUUAAUUUUAAUAAUAUAUUUAGUUAUAUGAUCCAUAAUUAAUGAUUAAAAGAUUAAAUUACCUUAGGGAUAACAGCAUAAUUUUUUUUGAGAGUUCAUAUCGAAAAAGAAGAUUGUGACCUCGAUGUUGGAUUAAGAUUAGUUUUAGGUGUAGAUGUUUAUAAACUAGGUCUGUUC
rnacentral:rRNA from 1 species